GGUACGGUUCCGUUCUGUUCCGCCUUGGCGCCCUUGGCCGCGGGGGCAAUGUUUUUGUUUUCGUUCUACGUUCGGGUGUUGAGUGGCGACGUAUUAACCGUCGAUAACCAGCUGAAGCAACUCAAGUUCUCGAGUGGAACGAGGUUGACCGUGCGCAGUGGCAGCCGUUGACAACAAAAACAAUGUAUGCACUCAGUUUCGCCGGAUGAGUGCCGGCGUCGAUCGCGAACCGCCAGAGCCGCCAAAUACCUCUCGUACAUCUCCAAGAACACCAAGAACAGGAGGUAUUCAUAAAGGUCUGAACCACGCGAGGAUCGUCUCGAAGCAUGGUAGCCUCAACAGACGCUUGCCGCCACACGCGAGGAGAAAGCAGGAGGCCCGAAGUUUGAACGUGAAGAGGAGGUGCGAAGAGCUGGCCCUUACUUUUUCAAGGCAGCCGCAGAACACUACGAGCCCCGAAUCACUGCCGCGGCUGACUCACGCGGAUGCUGUGCUGCACCCUGCACUGCACAUGGUUCGAAGCACACUUCAGAGGACCAGUGCAUGCCCCUGAUGCAUCGUCGCGGUAUGUUUUGUACUGCUUUUCCUAGCGGUGCACUGAGCAGUCCAAUCUUGAAGGGAGCACGCGAGUGCGUAGCCAGUGCUCCAUGCAGCGAGGACCGCAAGCACCCGCGGAAGCUUGGAGCACACGCAGUGACGCCAGCAGCCGUGCACGCUGGCGUCGUCUGCUACUGUACCGUCCUUUCGUUCGGUGCGCAGAAAAAAAAAGGAGUGACCGCUCUGUUAAAAGUCUGAUGGUGAAGGCAUCCUUUACAGAAGCACUGUAUGGCUCUCUGCACGCUAGAAUGGGGGCUGUCGUUGAUGCUCGCAGAGGCGUCGCCCACAACUAAGCAGACGACCAAAGUCCUGAGCAGGUCCCGGGGAUCAUGGCAUCGAUGAGCUCGCUUUCGCCUUGUCCAAGGUAGCAGCGGAACACUACGGGCAGGCCCGGAGUCACCGCACCGGCUGGCUCACGGGCGUCGUCCUGUACUCUGCACGGCACUGCGUGUGGCUUAACCGGCCAAGCAGAGGGUCACUGCAUGACCUUUAUGAGGCGUCGCUAGCCAUUGUUUCAAAUCGUCCUGAUUCAUGGGCCAAGCCUUUCAAGACUGCACUCUUAGGCCCAGUCCUUUUUGGUGGAUCGGAUCUUGCCAUCUUCCCCUCUCGUGGCUUCCUGUUGUACUUAAAUAAAUUGUCAUAUUUUUUUCUUAUGGUGGUGCAUACGUUUUGCCACACUUCACAAAAACAGUGUGGUGAAUCCAUGCCGCAGAUUACUGUGAAACGUGCAGGAAGGGUAAACUCCGAAAAGGUUUAUGGAAAGAAGAUAGACAUCCCCCAUUAAUUUUUUCUGGACACUCUAAGCGUGCUAUCUACGCAGUAUUUCUGCCUAUCAUGGCAUCGGCUUUUGACCAUUCACGCUUGCAAGGAAAGGCUAUCAGCAAGAAGGGUUACGAAGUCUGUGUUCUGUUUGCAUUUAAUUACUGAAACAAGAUUUAUAGACUUUACCAAGUGUAUUUUAACAUAACUAAAUGUUUAAACUUUAGAUCUUUAUUUUAAA
rnacentral:misc_RNA from 1 species